rnacentral:snoRNA from 1 species
CUGCACUGGUCGUUGACCAGCUGGUCUUUCCCUGACCUCCUUGGUAUCAUUCCAGUGCAAGAUAAAUUCCUUCUAGCAGAAGGGCCAGGCUCUCGUUGGCGGUCUGUCCCUUUCGAAAGCUGGGUACAAAC